rnacentral:rRNA from 1 species
GGGUUGUGAGGUUAAGCGACCAAGCGUACACGGUGGAUGCCCUGGCAGUCAGAGGCGAUGAAGGACGUGCUAAUCUGCGAAAAGCGCCGGCGAGGUGAUAUGAACCCUU